rnacentral:lncRNA from 1 species
UGAUUUAUUGUCGUUGAGUAAGUUCAAAGUUUAGCGGAAUAUGGGGUGCCACUAUUGAAAGUUGAAUUACAAAAAUACCCUUUAUAAGUUUAAUUACCUAUAUCUAAAAGUAAAAUUAUACUCUACUGCAAAUUAUUUGCUUUAAAUUGUUUUUAUUAGAAAAUUACUCCCUAUCAAAAUUAGUAUUUAAUAUUUAUUUAACAGUGAACAUACAUCCUACGUUUCAAA